GAAGGAUUUGGAUCUGCCGGAGUUUGAUCGGUCUCCGGUGGGACAUUUGUUGGAUGAGAAAGUUAUCAUCUCAGAAAUACGAUGAAAUGGGUUACAUUGUUUAAAGAUUUCAAAGAAUAAGUCGGGUCUUUCUCAGCCUCCUUCCUCUUCUUCUUCAUCUUCCUCGUCCAUUAACCAAGACAACAAUGUCAUUUCAACCACACAAGACUCAUCGGCAUCUUCAUCGUCUUCAAGAAUCUACUAUUGGAUGCCAAAAGAAAGCUUGGUGAAAUUUUAUCUGCAUUUGAAUUUUUGGAUAGCAACUCAAUGGAUCUGAGAGAAGCUUGAGGCCUUCCUACUCCGUUCAAUGGAAGGUGGUUUGAUAUCUGAUGGUGUUCUAGCCCAAGACAUAAUCCAAGCAUU